rnacentral:rRNA from 1 species
UUCAAAGAGUGCGUAAUAGCUCACUGGUCGAGUGAUCCUGCGCCGAAGAUUUCCGGGGCUAAAACUUACUACCGAAGCUACGGCAUCAGUAAUGAUGGGAAGGGGAGCUUCCCAUACGGGUUGAAGCAUGACCGUAAGGACAUGUGGACAGUAUGGGAGUGAGAAUGUUGGCAUGAGAAGCGAGAUGUGGGUGAGAAUCCCACAGGCCGUAAACCCAAGGUUUCCAGGGGAAG